UUACGGCCACACCACGUUGAACCACCGGUUCCCGUAAGGUCACCGAGGUUAAACAACGUCGAACCCGGUCAAUACCUAGAUGGGUGACUACCUGGGAAUACCAGGUGUUGUAAG